GAUGAAGAACGUAGCGAAAUGCGAUAAGUAGUGUGAAUUGCAGAAUUCAGUGAAUCAUCGAAUCUUUGAACGCACAUUGCGCCCCUUGGUAUUCCAUGGGGCAUGCCUGUUCGAGCGUCAUUUGUACCUUCAAGCUUUGCUUGGUGUUGGGUGUUUGUCCAUUCUCUUGCAGAGGGACUCGCCUUAAAGUAGUUGGCAGCCAGUGUUUUGGUUUUGAAGCGCAGCACAAGUCGCGAUUCAACGCUAUACGCCAGCUUCCACAAGCCUUUUUCACUUUUGACCUCGGAUCAGGUAGGGAUACCCGCUGAACUUAAGCAUAUCAAUAAGCGGAGGA
rnacentral:misc_RNA from 1 species